ACAUGUUGGAGUGGCCUUCGGGCUGGCUUUGACCGUAUGUAAUUUUGGGACUUUAAAAUGGUUCGCAAGGGCCGGUCCCAAAAACAAUAUAUCAUCCUUAUGAAAUUUUUUCUGAACAAUUAAACAAAUGAUUUUAAUAAUCUGUUUAAAA
rnacentral:misc_RNA from 1 species